rnacentral:rRNA from 1 species
UACGGAGGAUGCAAGCGUUAUCCGGAUUCAUUGGGUUUAAAGGGUGCGUAGGUGGGUCCAUAAGUCAGUGGUGAAAUCCGGCAGCUCAACUGUCGCACUGCCUCUGAUACUGUGGGUCUUGAGUUAAGUUGAAGCAGGCGGAAUAUGACAUGUAGCGGUGAAAUGCAUAGAUAUGUCAUAGAACACCGAUAGCGAAGGCAGCCUGCUAAACUUACACUGACACUGAUGCACGAAAGCGUGGGUAGCGAACAGG